rnacentral:rRNA from 1 species
CCACGGGGGGCUGCAGUGGGGAAUAUUGGACAAUGGGCGAAAGCCUGAUCCAGCCAUGCCGCGUGUGUGAAGAAGGCCUUCGGGUUGUAAAGCACUUUCAGUGGGGAAGAAAGCCUUGGGGCUAAUACCCUCGAGGAAGGACAUCACCCACAGAAGAAGCACCGGCUAACUCCGUGCCAGCAGCCGCGGUAAUACGGAGGGUGCGAGCGUUAAUCGGAAUUACUGGGCGUAAAGCGCGCGUAGGCGGUCUGAUAAGCCGGUUGUGAAAGCCCCGGGCUCAACCUGGGAACGGCAUCCGGAACUGUCAGGCUAGAGUGCAGGAGAGGAAGGUAGAAUUCCCGGUGUAGCAGUGAAAUGCGUAGAGAUCGGGAGGAAUACCAGUGGCGAAGGCGGCCUUCUGGACUGACACUGACGCUGAGGUGCGAAAGCGUGGGUAGCAAACAGGAUUAGAUACCCGAGUAGUC